AGAAAUAUGUCUGAUAAUAGAGUUACUUUGAUAGAGUAAAUCAUAGAGGUUUAAGCCCUCUUAUUUCUA
rnacentral:tRNA from 1 species